GAUGAACGCUGGCGGCGUGCCUAAUACAUGCAAGUCGAACGAAAAGACGCGGAGCUUGCUCCUCUGACGUUAGCGGCGGACGGGUGAGUCACACGUGGAUACCCUACCUGUAAGUCUGGGAUAACUUCGGGACACCGGCUCUAAUACCGUAUAAUAUAUUGAACCACAGUGUUCGAUGGUGAGUUACGGUUUUUCUGUCACUUAUCGCUGCAUACGCGCCGCAUGAGCUAGUUGGUGAGGUAACGGCUUACCACGGCUAGCAUGCGUAGCCGAGCGGACGGCGUGAUGGGCCACAGUGGAGCUGAGACACGGUCCAGACUCCUACGGGAGGCAGCAGUAGCGAAGGUUGGGCAAUGGGCGGAAGCCUGACGGAGCAACGCCGCGUGAGUGAUGAAGGUCUUCGGAUCGUAAAACGCUGUUAUUAGUGAAGAACACAUGUGUAAGUAACUAUGCGCGUCUUGACGUUACCGAAAAAGAAAGACACGGUUAACACCGUG
rnacentral:rRNA from 1 species